AAUACUUUGCUAGGAGAGCGCAGGCCAUACCCCACGUGUGGACGCUGCCGCCGAAGGCGCAAAGUCUCUCAUCGCAGAGGCUGCAACGCUCAGGUACCAGGACUGGCAGAGCGUG
rnacentral:ncRNA from 2 species